rnacentral:rRNA from 1 species
CCCUUAGAUGUUCUGGGCAGCACGCGCGCUACAAUGGUCUUCGCAAACGGAUGCAUUCUCGAAGGAGAAUGCCAAUCUUGGAAUCUAUGCCUUGGUCGGGACAGUUGCUUGCAAUUUUUCGACUCGAACCAGGAAUUCCUUGUAAUCGUGAUUCAUCACAUCACGAUGAAUACGUCCCUGCCCUUUGUACACACCGCCCGUCGCUCCUACCGAUCGAAGAGUUAGGUGAAUUGUUUUGAUCGAUAAGAUUUGAAUAUGGUCAACUCUCGUUGUGAAAUUCUGUGAAUCUGACUGUUUAGAGGAAGGAAAAGUCGUAACA